rnacentral:lncRNA from 10 species
UAUUUUCUCCUCUAACCUCUGAAAACAACAAAACAAACAGGUACCGCAUUCUGAUGAAACUACUGAAGGACUUUACUGAUACCAGCUGGUCUGAAGGACCCCAUGAGGUGCUGACUUAACAAAGAAGACAGAAUGCAGUUUCCAUAUCCUGAUGAUUUCAUCCCCCUUGCCUCAACCAAGCAAUGACUCCAAUUUUCAACCUGUCACCCUCCAUGAUUCUCUUAAAACCCCCCACCCAGAACCCCACUGGGGAGAUGGAUUUGAGGGUCUCCUCCCACCUCCUCACUCAACACCCUGUGAUUAUUAAACUCUU